rnacentral:rRNA from 1 species
UACGGGGGGAGCAAGCGUUGUUCGGAUUUACUGGGCAUAAAGGGCGCGUAGGCGGUCAGCACAAGUCAGUUGUGAAAUCUCCGGGCUUAACUCGGAAAGGUCAACUGAUACUGUGCGACUAGAGUGCGGAAGGGGCAACUGGAAUUCUCGGUGUAGCGGUGAAAUGCGUAGAUAUCGAGAGGAACACCUGCGGCGAAGGCGGGUUGCUGGGCCGACACUGACGCUGAUGCGCGAAAGCUAGGGGAGCAAACAGG